rnacentral:rRNA from 1 species
GAUGAACGCUGGCGGUAUGCUUAACACAUGCAAGUCGAACGCAGACUUUCGGGUCUGAGUGGCGGACGGGUGAGUAACGCGUGAGAAUCUGGCUUCAGGUUGGGGACAACCACGGGAAACGGUGGCUAAUACCCAAUGUGCCGCUAAGGUGAAAGAUUAAUUGCCUGAAGAUGAGCUCGCGUCUGAUUAGCUAGUUGGUGGGGUAAGAGCUCACCAAGGCGACGAUCAGUAGCUGGUCUGAGAGGACGAUCAGCCACACUGGGACUGAGACACGGCCCAGACUCCUACGGGAGGCAGCAGUGGGGAAUUUUCCGCAAUGGGCGAAAGCCUGACGGAGCAAUACCGCGUGAGGGAGGAAGGCUCUUGGGGUGUAAACCUCUUUUCUCAGGGAAGAAGGCAAUGACGGUACCUGAGGAAUCAGCAUCGGCUAACUCCGUG